GCUUUAUUGUGAUGGGCAGGAGCUUUAUUGUGCACCGGCAGGCUCCGAAGCCCCGCCCACCAAUGAAACGGAAUAUGGAGUCGUAUUUUCAUUUUGGGGGGUCAAAACGAAAAAACGAACCGUUUCCUGUUUUUUGCUCAAAACGAAAAAACGGCUUGAUUUUUUGUUUCUGCUUGUGUCUUUUAUAGCCAGGAAACAAACGGAUAAAACGUACCUUGUCCAUCAUGGCUCUUUUUUUCUUUUGAGGUCUAGAUGGAAGAAAGAAAAAAAAAAAAAAAAAAAAAAAAAAGAAAGCCCUCACACUACAAAUGAACUAAAGCAGGGUUGAGUUUGAUCUGGAGCGAGACCAGAUCUUUGUGUAGACAAAAGUUCGGCUGUCUGGUCCAGUGGACACAAAUGGAAUUUUGAUUAAGUGUCACAAAAUUAGGCUGGACUCGUGCAGAGGAACACACCACCAGGACCGAUAUGGAAGUAAUUAAAGAAUUUAUUGUAUACAGUGUGAAUUUAGAGGCAGCUGGAAUCUGAGGUGAGAGGGGAGUGAACCUGGAUAUGAGUUCGGUUCCGAGGAUCGGCAGCCGUCUCUGGUCCGGUGGAGGGGGACGAGUGUGGCGGCUGGUGUAAUUGGAUCCCUGGCGGGAACGGAGUUUGAUUCAGGCGGCGAUCCAAGAGACUUGGUGCUGGCGGUUCUGAACGGCCAGACGUACAUGAUCCAACCAGAAGGAAAAUGGCAAACCAACUGAACGGAGACUGAGGCUUUCCAGGGAGGCUCCAGGAGUACAGGAAUCAGGAGGGGAUUCUCGGGAUAUCACUGCGUCUUUAGAAGAAUCGGUACAGUCUUUCCACCAGGUGGAGAAAGAGGCCAAAGUCUUCCUUCUCCUCACUGUGGUCUCGAGUUCAUCAUAGGUGUCUUUGACAGCAUCUCUCCAUCCACAAACACACAUUCACACCUUUGAAGUAUCAGUGAACUUCAGUGUGUUUCUGGACUGUGAAAGGAAGCUGGAGAACCUGGAGAAAACCCACACAGCACAGGGAGAACAUUUUAACCACACACAGAACGAUCCCAGGUCCAGGCUGGGACGUGAACCUCUUUGACAACAUGUAAUUCCAAAUUUCUCCUGUGUUUUGUACACAUUUGUGCUUAAUGCAAAAAGAUGUAACUAAAACUAUUAUUGAUGUGUUUUAUAUAAAAUAGGCUAACUUUAAAUUUCAGGUUUCUGUAGAGCCACAAGAAUUGUACUUUUGAAUGUAAACUGUUUAUGACUCACAGUUGCCAUGUGUCCAUCUAACUGUCAAACAAAAAGCAAACUUUGUUGCAUUUAUUUUUUUAAAAGGGAGAGAAAAUUGGACACAUUUCCAUUAUCUGCUGUGGUGCAAAUCAGCUCAGCUGCAUGGUGUCAUCAGUAGGUGGCAGUAGAGGCUCUGGUACACAUAAACGAUAGAUAUAGAGUAAAAGAACCUGGAAUCAAUGGUAUUCUUUCAUGUUGGCUGGUAUCGGACAUGUUUCCUGGUGUCUGGAGACAAACUUAAAUGAUCAUUUGAGCUACAUGUUCUUUAUGUCAGAACUUAUUUGAAAAAUAGGUUUUCAUCCACGUUUAUUAACCGAUUUAGAAAAAGGCAAAAAAAAAACAACAACAAACAAACAAACAAAAAACACCUCAAGGGAACAUAAUUUCUUUUUAGUGAAAGUGGGGAAUGUAUUUUGGAUUGUGCCAGUUCCAUUAACUUUCUCUAAUUUGAAAUGUAUGUCAAAAUAUAUUAUGGAAACAUGACUCGUGUCCCUGAAUUACUGGUACACUAUAAAAUUGUCACUUUAAAUGCCGUUUUCACUGUUAAAAACUAUGUUAUAUCAUCUGCCAGCUUUAUAAGACAAUGGGUGUUAAGUGAUUUUUGUAUUUUAUAUGUACAUGUCCUGUACACCAACUAGACAGGAUCACUGUUCUAAAAUAGUUUCCUUCAAAAUAUUUUUCUUAAGUUCCCCAUGUUUUGUGGAGGCCUUGUUGAUUUAUUAAAACAGAAACUGAGAAACCCGGUAAGUUCUCUGCAGAGUCUGUACACAAAAUAAAUGCUUUAAUUCCUUUUCCAA